GGGAUGGGAAUAGAAAACCAAAUGGUUUAAUCCAUCGACAUCAUUUACAUUUUAGCUUAACGAUUCCCUGAACGAUUUCUUUCUUCUGGUUCAUAUAUGUUGAUAAAUGAUCAUAUAUGUUUUUCCUUGAGCUGCGGCACCUCACUGUAGUCCCUAACAGACUGGCCUGAGGUCUCUCUACAAACAAGCGUCUGCUGGAAGAGAGUAGGUGAGUUGUGUUUAGUCUCUUUGCUAAAGAAAUGAGUCAAAGUUAAAAAGAUGUUUGGUGUCUAGUACUAUGGCUGUGACCCUAUAUGUACUAACCUGAGUAGAACAUGGUGUAGUUCCGUUCAGUAACAGAACCUCAUUGGAAAAUUAGCUGAUUUAACUAUACUGUGCUCUUGUUCAAAUAUAUUUACUCGACAGCACAUAAAUCCAUACCUUUUUAACAAAAUCAUGAUUUUAUUGAUAAUUCGGCUCAAUAAAAAUACCUUUACCUUUAGGGAGUGUCUAACUCGGUGUUACAGUGUUUGAUCCUGACUUACUUUUACGCCGGAAUAUCCCUUUAAUAUAGAUCUGCAUGCACAGCUAGAUAACUCACUCUGGUGCUGGGCGGUUUCACAGCUUCUCUUGAAAGUCUCCGUCAGCAUCGAUCUGCUUUGGUGCAUUUAAAGGUGCAUGUGUUUUUGUUUUUCAUGUUGAACAGUCAGAUCUGUGUGUGAUGAAUGUUGAUCUUGCGUUCCCCGGCUCUUGUUCUCUGCAGACCAAUCAGACGGCAGGGAGACCUGCGUCUCUGCCAAACACCAUUAAAGGCAUUAAAGACUGGGACUGAUAGUCCGUCUCUGUGUGCGAGAGCGUGGACAUUUGCGUCAGAGCGCCUGUGGAUCCGUGUUUAUCACCCUUAUCUCCUGGUCUGAGCGGCUAACAACACGGUGCUCUGAUAAGAGGCAGAUCGAGGAGUGAUAGAGCGAAGCAGAGAGGUGACACAUCUGGAAACACGCGGAGGUAAUGGGAGGAGAGUCGGAACAUUUGCUUUGCUUCCUCUCUGACCUUUCGUGGAGAAGAAUCAACGGCGUUGGAAACCACUCUGAAAAGGUCCUGAAUUAUUUCCACGCCUGUUAGAGAGGAGGAGAUGAGAUUUCUGUUGUCGUGGGAAGUCGGGAAAAUGGGGAAGUGUCUCGUUGUUUUUGUAAUUACAGUAAUCUGGGUAAACGGCUCUGUAUCUGGUGGGCUCGCCCUCGCGCGUGUGAAAGGUCAGGUCCUGCCAUUAACGGCUCCAUUAGACAAACUCACCGGGUUUUCUUCUUCAGGACUAAAAAGAUCAGAUAAGAGGAAAACACGGACCUGUCACCGCCGAGGGGAUCUCGGAGUGACGGGGUGGAUGAGAUAGAAAGAUGCAAAGAUACGAGAAACAUCCAGAACGAUUAGAAAUACAUUAGAAAGCCUCCGGGGUCAGGACCUUCUUCUUCUUCAUGUAGGAGGACGGAUGUUUUAUGGUUUUAAUUUUAGCUUCCAGACUCAACAUCAUUCACCUGAGAAGAGAAACCGCCGACAGCAGAGACGACGCUUUCUGACAGGAAAUCUAUUUAGAUCUGAGUCAGCGGCAGAGAGCCGCCCUCUCAGGUUACACUAAAUAAAAACGGAAUAGUCAUUUAUAAAACUGCAGAAAAUAGAAAUGAGUUUAAUCCUUUAUCCUCCCUACAGCUGCCGCUAAAUACUCAUUUACUACAUUCAAAUGUAAUCCUCUUAUCGCAGGUGUCAAAGUCCUGGACCCGGACCUAAUCCCCACAAUUAUACUGCGCUUCCACAAAGUUCCUUCAGUCCUCCCAGGGUGAGAAAUCUGGAGGUGAAACUGAAACAGUCAGUCAGACCUGUCAGUCCUCUCUCCCUGAUCCUCUCGGCAGCAGUAAGGUCUUUGGAGGGCCACUUAGCAAGACCGGUAUAGGGGUAGGGUCCAAAGGGGCGGAAAAUUUACGGUAAAUUUCUGUGGGAAGUUACGCUUGGGAAUUUUGGAAAUAUUCCAAAUUGGAAACUUUUCAUGGGAAUUAUUGGGAAUUAACUGGAAAUUGGGGGUAAUACAAACAAACGGUAUCAUAUCCGAACGUAAAUGUAAAUAUUUUUGUUUUGUCAUAAGUAGACCGAUUUAUCGGCAAGUUGAUUACAUUGGAGACUAACCGGUAAUUGUCUAAAACUCGCUGAUUUUCGCCGAUAUUUUCAGAAGUAAAAUGCAGAGAAUAAGAUUCGGUUUCACUUCGAAAAUGUUCCGCCAUUUGAAAAGUUCCCCGACUUACCCUGUAGAUGGCGCAGUGACCUCAUGAUAAUCUUCAUCCAUUAACUACCUCACAUACAUAUUAUACUGUAGAUAUUUACUGUAUAUACAUAUUCUUUAUAACUUCAUAAAAAAUUUUAAAAAUCGGCCGAUUAAUAAUCGGUAUCGGCAUCAUUCAAAAAAUACUUACAUUUAGUAACUAUUUUUAUUUCAUUUUUUACAGGUUAAAUAUCAGACUGAUAUGGAUUUUUUGGGGCCGAUGCCAAUUCGGAUAAUUAGGGGGAAAAAAAUCAGAUUAGCGGUUAAUUGGAUGAUUUAAAAAAAAAUUUAUUAAGUUAUAAAAAAUACACAUAUACUGUAGAUAUCUACUGUAUACUAUGUAAUGUAGAUAUACUGUAGGCUACUGCUCUUCAGGAAGACCGACUGAUCAAACUCGGACCAGAAAAACGUUUUUAACUCCGCCCAUCGGUGCCUCGGCGUCUAAACUCCCGUUACUCAUUUCCGGUCCGGUCUGAUCUGGAGACAUGCAGCUGUAGCGCCAUCUACAGGAUAAGUCGGGGAACUUUUCAAACGGUGGAACAUUUUCGAAGUGAAACCGAAUCUUAUUCUCCGCAUUUUACUUCUGAAAAUAUCGACGAAAAUCAGCGAGUUUUGGCCGAUUACCGAUUAAUCUAAAAUGGGCUUAUAUUGGUCAGUCUAAUCAGCUCGCCCCUAAUAUUUACCCCAUAAUAUUAACAUCAUUAUAUAGACGUGGACUCUAAUGUCUUGGUCUUUGGGCUCUCAAGUGUGUUCAAGAAAUCAGAAAUUUCAGAUUUAUUCCUGUUAAUUCCCACGGAAAGUUUCCGACUCCUGGAUCCCCAAAGGCCAGAGGACCGAGGAGGAUCAAGAUUUCACUCUUUCUGACUGUUCAGACUUUUAAAACUCCUUAAAUUGGCGUUCAGGUGUUGAACAAAAGAUCUUCCUGCUGCUAAACUUCGGCUCAAACUCCUAAUCGAUGAAUUAGCUUCUUCCGCCUUCCUCGCAGGUUUGAUGGCCACCCACUUUGUUUUGGUUUUCCUGAUUAGCCGAAUGCUAAUCUUUUGCUGCUUUUAGCAGAAAACAGAGGCGGGCCGGGUCUCACGUGGACCCGGUUCUUCAGAGCUUGUUAAAAAUAAGUCCUUGACAUCAAAGCAGCGGCGGCACAGAGCAGUUUACCUGCAGCAGUGCAUUAAAGGCCAUUAAUUAGCUGGCAGGCUGACACCGGUGUCAGGCAGGAGGGGGAAUUAGGCAUGAAACGAGGAAGAAGAGAGGAGGGAUAAAAGCAGAGGCAUGAAUUAAUGAAGAGUGGGAGAAGAAAGGGAAGAAGAGGGGAGGAAGAAAAAAACACCGAGGACCCACACAGAGAGGGACUGAGGUUUGAUCUGAGGGAGCACAGAUUCAGAUUAGGGGGACGAGAGUCGACGAUUACACCGUGUCAGAGAGAGGAGUAUCCGAUCCUCAAAAACUCCCAUCACUCAAACAUCUCCAAGGCGUCCUCAAAACACAUUCAAGGACUCGUUCAAGGUGCGUUUGUUAGCCGGGGGGGCGGGGCUGCUCGAUCGACUCUUUCUGAAGCCGGCGAACCAGUCCUGACGCUAUCGACCACAACAGACAAGAUCAGAACUGCAACGUGAUUUAGCCUAGCAUCCAUGCUAGGUAACAGGUAGUAAUGUGUUAUUAGCAAUGCCGUUACUUUAUUCAGUAGCUAAUAAUGUAACACAUUUUUUUUUUUAAUUCAGUAACUCUGUUCCCGUUACCAAACGCUGCGUUCCUCCGUUCCUUUCGGUGAGGUUUUGUAACGGCACAACGCGACAUUUCGGUAACAUGUAAACUGUGUCCCGGGUCAAAAAUCCUUCCUUGCGGCAAACAACGGCAACAGCAAUCUACUUCAGCACCUAGAGACGCACGCGGCGUGCUUCGACAAAGUUUGCGGCUAAGGUGACGCAGCAUCCGCGACCGAGUGUCACAGCAGCGGUUGGAGUUCGGAAGAUGGACCAAUAGCCAGGCGCAACAAUAACAGGGUAUGUUUGAUUGUUUAUUUGGAUCUUUUUUUUUAGAGAUAUCAGGCUGAUAUUCCAAAAGUCGGAUGCGGGUCACUUCACGGACGCAUUCCGUUCACAUUAGAUGCCGCAUUCAUUGUUGUCAUGUGAACGACCGCACAAAAAGAUCGGAUUUAACAAAAAGAUCGGAUUUAUCAGAACCUGCAGUGACAGGACAGGAUCCGUGUUUGUUCAUCGUGUUUUCAGCGAGUAAAAUCAGCUGUAAAAAAAAGAGGCAAACGGUCAAUCAUACGUACAUUUAUCAUCAACAAACACGGACAUUUCUGCACAGUCAGCGCUAAAUCCUGAGUAGAUUUUGAUUACGACACUUAAAGGCGACCUGCCAUAAAAAUGUAAUUUUUCUGUGUUUUUUGUGUCAGAUAAGGUCCAUAUUAUGUUCGUCUUAUGUUGUAAAUGUGAAAACAAACCGUUACGUCGUUUGCAUUCUGUAAAGGUUUAAAAUAAAGGAACGAGUAAACCAGGCCAAUUGAAAAAGCAGGUCAGUGUUACGUUGCGUUGACGUUGCUCAUUAUAAUUCACGAGCUCGUCCUCGGUGAGCCGUGCCCACUCUCUCGUUCUCGUACUCAGUCACAGCCAGAGCGAGACCCAGCUACCGCUGUAUCCGCUAUGGGUCUCUUCCAAACGAUCGGUGUUUCCUUCGGUUCACUGCCGGGAAAAUGAACUUAAAGCUGGGCAGAAUGAAUGAGAAAACACCGCUGGAGAUCUCCAGCUUCUUCCUCAACUUCCACCUCCUCUUCGGACUCGGGGUCUAAAAUAUAUGGUUUAAUACCUGCCGUUUUUAGCCUUUAGCAUAAGGUGACCAGACGUCCCCGAUUUCCGGGGACAGUCCCCGUAUUGGAUGACCUGUCCCCGGCAAAAGCUGUCCCCGAAAAUGUCCCCGAUUUAAGCGUUUCAUUAAUGAGAGCAAAAAUGUUGCGUGUGGGCUCGAACAACGGUUAUUACAGUAGCCGAAUAGGUAGGAAGCACAGGUUAGCAGUCCUGAACAACAGUUCUUACGGGGUUAUUACAAGGGGCAUGCGCUGCUACUAAAUAGUACCGAGACUUUGUCUGUGAUCACACAGCCCCUGCAGCCCCUGCACCGCCGCCGCCGCCGCACCGAAUAUCCCCGGAUAUCAUUACAGACAUCUGGGCACCUUACUUUAGCAUACAUUAGCAUAUGCUAUUAGCAUUAGCAUAAUAACAGUGGAUAAACCGAAAUCCGAACCUCCACUGCUGAGCCAAUCAGAGCACAGUAGGCUUCACAGCAGCGAUCCAAUCAGAGCAAAGCUCAUUACCAUAAAUGUUAAUGAGCCAAAACCAGUUGGUUUUCCUGUAAGGUUUUUUAGGCAUACUAAAACAAACCAUCAAAUAACUUUUCAGCUAAAAUUAUGUUGCAAACAUGAUCAGAGGACAUCAAGGAUUAUGAAAAAAUGAUAAAAAUGGGGAUGAAGUUUUGGUGGCAGGUCCCCUUUAAACUUCCACAGAGAUCUGAGGGGAAUCUCCGCUGAACGCCGACUUGUACUUAUUAAAGUGAUUUCUACACUUUCAUCAGUUUUCCGACUUCUGUUCUGAUGAAAUCAAGUUCCCGCCCUCUUCAUGCUGCUCGUCUUUAUCUUGCGCUCGCACUCGCACAGGCGGCUCUGUGGCCUACAGGCUGUACCGUCUUAUUUACAGUAGAGAACACAGACACACAAAUCUAUAUUGUUACGCCGCCUCCUACAGAAAAACACAAUACUGUAUAUUUAAUGCACACUUCAUGAGUGCACUGAGAGAUAAUCCGUGAGAUGCAGAUAAGUAAAUGUGGGUCAGGAAGCGUUCCAGAGGCGUGCUGGAUUUAUUUCCCCUGCUGAGGAGGAGAAACCUCUUCAGACGGGGUUUAUCUGCUCUGAGGGGUCCGGAGAUUUGAGCAGGAACACACCUCACACUCCUGGAGGGUUUAUGCGCUAUCGCCACCGUCUCAGCGCCUCAUCCUGCCCAUUAUAGAUCCAAACUCCUCGACAAAGCCGCAGAUUUUCUCUCUUAUAGGCGUCACAAUCCUCGGGGACUCUCUGAUCAGAUUAUACCAACUUUCAUCUUGAUACUCAAACCUCGGCUCUUUGACGCCGUUAUACAACAGGCGUAGAUCAGACCCCGCUCGUGAUCAGAGGAGUCCUCUCAGUCCCGGUCGAAGGCCUGGACGGGUUUCUGCGCGCCGAGUCCGAGCCCAGAAGCUCAGCUAAAACUCCUCCUACUCUCCACCUACACAGCCACGCUAGUUCAAGGCCCCUGGGAAGCACAGAAGAAAGGCAUUCUGGGUAUCUUCAGAGGAUAAGUGGACGUGGUGGAAACUGUAUCAACAUCAUUUCAUCAGGACAUAACAACACGGGGACGAGUGGAUCUGACUGUGUAAACCUCUGCAUACUUUCCGUCCUACUACACAUUAUCCAGCUCGUUACCACGGCAACCGGCCAUAGAUAUAAACAAGCUGACACCGACCGUUCGUUAAGAAGAGAUCGUAUUGAUUGAAAAAAAAAAAAAAAAGAGGGUAAACACUCUCUCCUUCCUCUUCUUCACUCCUGAUUGGCUGGUAACCACGGAUCGCGCUCCUUUAAGGUGUCAGGAUAUAUCGUUUGAGCAUCGUCAUGGCGAUAGUCACAUUGCCUGGGAUGUCGGAGGCGAAUGAACUCAUCUCAUUUCAAGGGUAGCUGACUGACUGCCAAUCAGACUACCCUGCCAGCCGUCAAUCAAGAGAGGAGGAAACCACGCCCCUGCACAUGGAGUGAGUCGCUGGCGCUGCCGGUGUUGUGCCGAGAAACGCCGAGAAUGACUUUGGGAACAUUCCUCAUCACUGUUGAGAACUGUAUGGGUUUUAAAUUGUACAUUUCCGUGGACCACUCGACUAUAAGCGGUAUGCGUGUGGCGAGGUGGAUGCAAUUCUCAGCGGGCAUGCGUUUCUCGGCACAACAACGCUAACAACAACAACAACGAUUGCAAAAUGAGCGACAAACGAGAGAUAACCACCGAAAAUGAAGAUUUGUUACCUAAAAGAAAAGCAACGUCACUUACCUGGAAUUGUUGCGGUUAUAGGAAGGAUGAUGUCGACUAAAACACCUGUUCUGUGUUCAUCUAUUUCCAGCACGGCCGCUGUUGUUUAGCGGGCACACAUUUGUUCCCUCCGAUGGGGCGUCGCAACAAUAUGCUUUUCGAUAGUCACCAUUCUGACAUGUUUUGGUAGAUUAUUCGAAUAGCCAAUGAAAAGGGGAGUUGCUCUGGGUCCGCUUCAUGUUCUGAAUUAGAACCAAGUAACAACCAAUUGUAGCGUCGUAGCAGACAGCAGCUCCACCCAACCAUAGCACUUUAACAGGUGAAGCCGACAGCACUGUUGGUGAGAAACAAAGAAAAUGAGUGCUACCCCCGACAGAAAUGACCAUGAAGGCUCAACAGAUGACCACAUCAAUGUCAACCACAACACUGGCGUUAGGAAAACGUCGGUGGUGUGGAGGUAUUUUGGUUUUUGGAGGUCGGACAUGAAGCAGAGUAAUGUGGACUGUAAAUUAUGUCGAGUACAUGUUCUCACAAAGUUGGGGAAUACCUCAAAUCUUUUUCACCACCUGAAGCAGCGCCACGCCGCAGAGCACGCGCAACGCCGAAGGUUACAAACCCCGAGAGGAGCGAGGAGCCAAAACAGGCGAGCAUUCAGUCGGCUUUCUCUAGAGCAACGCCUUACGACAAAACGCCAAAGAGACACAAAGACCUCACAGAUGCAGGAGAUUAUUGUGUUGGAAAAGACAUGAGACCAAUAAACACUGUUACAUUUUUAUAUCGUGAUAUUGAUCGAUAUCAGCUGGUGAGGUUCAGAGUGUUCGUUCAUUAGUAAACUAAAACCUUCACCUCCUGGUUCAGUUUUCUUCACCUCCAUGACGCCUGUGAUACUGCUGAUGAAGCACUAAUCCACCGAUCGAUUGCGCCCUCCCUCGUGUUGAAGACCCAAAGAAACUCGAGGUCAAAGACUCGACCCAAUUAAAGACGGAAGGUCAUUGUUUUCCAGUCCAGAACCAUGGACUCAGACCUUAAGGUGCUGACUUUCUGUCUUUAUACUGCUGGAGGUCGUGACUUGGAAGAAGACGAAAAAACCACAUCGUCUGCAAAGAAAGAAAGAUGGAAUUUAGAGGAUCCUGAACUGAGGACCCUGGAGACCCCUAUCCUUGAAUGUCCUGAUCAGAUGCAGAGGCGGACAUGAUCCGCUGCAGGCCAAAGCUGUUCUUAGCCUCCACAGAAGUCUCUGAAGUACGCGCAGAUAUGGAGGACCAGCGAGUGUUUCCCUGAGUGUGCAUGCAUGGAGAGGCUCUCUACAGUCUAAGUGCAUCUAACAGCGGGAGGAAAACAGGCCAACAUGACUCCUCCAAGAGACCAGUAUCUGACAUGAAGGGGGUCAAAGGCCAGAGGUCACUGUGCUCCUUUGAGUGUGGAGGUGGACUCAGAAACAUGGACUAGUUUAGAGUUUCUUAGAUAGAGGGUUCGAUUAGGGGAACAUUUAAAAACCUGCAGACAGGACAUGGAGGCGGGUGGAAAAAAAAAACACCUAACCUAAAAAAUUCUAACAAAUGUUUCUCAGCUGUUUUUUUUUAUAGUAUUAGAUGUACUUAAUAAAAAACUAAAAGUUUGCCAAAGUUUGACCACUAGAAAGGCGUCAUUUUCAAGAUGGCGUCCAUGAUGGGUUGGAGACCCCCCAGGUGAAUAGGGUAAAAUUUUAAACUAACAGAUAUAACCAUGAAACUCACCAAGUUUAUAACUGACAUUAAGACAAAUAUUUUUCAUAUUACAAGUUUUUUCAAAUGUUAUGUUUGAAUAUGUCAAUGAGGUCAUAUCUAAUUAAAUAUGCACUAAUUUACAGAUAGAUAGAUAGAUUUAUUGGUCCCCGUGGGGAGAUUUGUCUUCACCAACUGUACAUCACAUGAAAGGACAGAAACGCACAUCACAUAAGACAGACCUUAAAGAACAGACAACUAAUGACAAACACCCGGACAACAGCAGUCGGCAACAAGCAGCAAGGAGGCAACAGGGGCCGACUAUUCAGGGCAUCUAUAGCUGCAGGGACCAGGCUUUUCCUAAAGCAGGCCUUGCGAAACCUCAGGGUUCCAUACCUGCGCCCUGAGGGUAGGAGGUUGGAGUAUUUUUUGAGUGGGUGUCUUGUGCUGUGGAGUUUGCUAUGUGUGUGAUGGACCUGUUGUUCAGUUCUGUGAGGUUGGGUGUGGGUAGACCAUUGCUCCUCCGGGGGGAAUUCCAAGGCACUCCCAGGCCAGGCGAGAGAUAUAAUCCCUCCACCUGGUCCUGGGCCGACCACGAGGUCUCCUCCUGGUGGGACAUGUCUGGAACACCUCUAACAGGAGGCGUCCAGAAGGCGUCCUAACCAGAUGCCCGAGCCAC